GAUGAACGCUGGCGGCGUGCCUAAUACAUGUAAGUCGAGCAAAUGGAUUAAGAGCUUGCUCUUAUGAAGCUAGCGGCGGACGGGUGAGUAACACGUGGGUAACCUGCCCAUAAGACUGGGAUAACUCCGGGAAACCGGGGCUAAUACCGGAUAACAUUUUGAACCGCAUGGUUCGAAAUUGAAAGGCGGCUUCGGCUGUCACUUAUGGAUGGACCCGCGUCGCAUUAGCUAGUUGGUGAGGUAACGGCUCACCAAGGCAACGAUGCGUAGCCGACCUGAGAGAGUGAUCGGCCACACUGGGACUGAGACACGGCCCAGACUCCUACGGGAGGCAGCAGUAGGGAAUCGUCCGCAAUGGACGAAAGUCUGACGGAGCAACGCCGCGUGAGUGAUGAAGGCUUUCGGGUCGUAAAACUCUGUUGUUAGGGAAGAACAAGUGCUAGUUGAAUAAGCUGGCACCUUGACGGUACCUAACCAGAAAGCCACGGCUAACUACGUGCCAGCCGCCGCGGUAA
rnacentral:rRNA from 1 species